rnacentral:rRNA from 1 species
CCUACGGGUGGCAGCAGUGAGGAAUAUUGCACAAUGGGCGAAAGCCUGAUGCAGCAACGCCGCGUGAGCGAUGAAGGCCUUCGGGUUGUAAAGCUCUGUCCUCAAGGAAGAUAAUGACGGUACUUGUGGAGGAAGCCCCGGCUAACUACGUGCCAGCAGCCGCGGUAAUCCGUAGGGGGCGAGCGUUAUCCGGAAUUACUGGGCGUAAAGGGGGCGUAGGUGGUUUCUUAAGUCAGAGGUGAAAGGGUACGGCUCAACCGUAGUAAGCCUUUGAAACUGGGGAACUUGAGUGCAGGAGAGGAGAGUGGAAUUCCUGGUGUAGCGGUGAAAUGCGUAGAUAUUAGGAGGAACACCAGUUGCGAAGGCGGCUCUCUGGACUGUAACUGACACUGAGGCACGAAAGCGUGGGGAGCAAACAGGAUUAGAUACCCUGGUAGUC